rnacentral:lncRNA from 1 species
AAUGAUCAUUUCAAUAUCUUCUACACAAUGAAGUAUGGCAGGAAACACAUCUGCAAAGCUGUGAAACGUUACAGAACAGUAUUUUUCUGAUGAUAGAAAGGAUGAAAAAAAAUGUUUUUGAGUUAAAUUCAUAGGCAAAAAUAUACGAUUCAUCACCAGGAACAGAUAACAGGGUAAAAAGGAGAACUAAAAACUUUUACAAUGACAGUCAACAUCCACAGGCA